CACUGCUUCCUGGAUUCCACACCAACAGCAGCUGUUCCUCCGCCAUGGCCCUGUGCAUGCUGUCCUGCCUAGGGCCCAGUGGACCAUGGACUGAAACUUACAAGCUAAAGCUUCAGAAACCCAGAGGUCAUUGUAUCUGAAUAUCUGAACAGCCUUACUUUCAAGAGACACAACCAGGAAUUCACUGGCUUUGGGGAAUAUCAGGAUACAUUAACACCACCUAGCUGCAGUGCUUCCCACACCUGUCACAACUCUAGCAACUCUCUUCUCAGAAUGCCUUUACCUUAUUCCUAUUAAUUCAGUGAUUUUAGCCUUUAGUCCAGGGCUUCCCAUUUAUUACUGUUCAAAUGUACACUCGGAGGUGGGGCAACUCCUGAAGAAAUCUGGGCAAGGCUGAAGGAAUCUUCAUGAGUGAACAAAGCGGAGGAUGGAAGAGGAGGUGGACUCACAAAGAGCAGAAGGAAUUGCACUUCAAUGCCAAUGGAGUCCCCCACAGUCAAGCUACUUUCCCUUCUUCCUGGCUAAUUUCUCAAAUUCUGUCCUUCUCUCCAUGUUUUCCAUCGCAAAGUCCAAAUCACUUUUGCUCAUCUGUGGAAGAAAUUCCCUCACCGUGCAGAA